rnacentral:snRNA from 1 species
UUAACUUCUUGGCCUUUUGGCUAAGAUCAAGUGUAGUAUCAAGUGUAGUGUAUUUUGCAUAUUCUUAAAUUGCAAGUGAACUUUAU